rnacentral:lncRNA from 1 species
AGUCAUAGCUACUCUUCUAAAUAUACGCCUACUAGUUCUUUUGUAAGCAGGUUGUAGGUUUAAUUGAACAUAUUCUUCAAAAUUAAAAGAUUCACAUAAACUAAAAGGUAAUUCAUCCUUAACUAUCCAUUUUACAAGUACUUUUCUUUGAUUUUCUUGAUUAUAUGCAAAAUUACCUACAAGUAAUCCCCCUUGUAUAUUAAGGGUACUUUGAGUUUGAGCAUAAGAAUCAUGCAUCCUAUGACUCUCUUGAUGUCUUUUUAAAUGCCCUGUUCCCCCACUACUACUACAACUAUAAAGUUUGGCACAUUUUUUACAUUUAGCUUUCCAGACUCCAUCAACCAUAACUCUAUCAAAUUCAUUCCAUACACCACUAGUCCUCUUACGAGAAGAGGUUUGAUCUUCACUCG